rnacentral:rRNA from 1 species
AUUGAACGCUGGCGGCAUGCCUUACACAUGCAAGUCGAACGGUAACAGGUUAAGCUGACGAGUGGCGAACGGGUGAGUAAUGUAUCGGAACGUGCCCAGUCGUGGGGGAUAACUGCUCGAAAGAGCAGCUAAUACCGCAUACGACCUGAGGGUGAAAGCGGGGGAUCGCAAGACCUCGCUCGAUUUGAGCGGUCGAUAUCAGAUUAGGUAGUUGGUGAGGUAAAGGCUCACCAAGCCGACGAGCUGUAGCUGGUCUGAGAGGACGACCAGCCACACUGGGACUGAGACAGGGCCCAGACUCCUACGGGAGGCAGCAGUGGGGAAUUUUAGACAAUGGGGGCAAGCGUGAUACAGGCAUGCCGGGUGCGGGAAGAAGGACUUCGGGUUGUAAACCGCUUUUGUCAGGGAAGAAAAGGUUCUGGCUAAUACCUGGGACUCAUGACGGUACCUGAAGAAUAAGCACCGGCUAACUACGUG